rnacentral:rRNA from 1 species
GAUGAACGCUGGCGGCGUGCCUAAUACAUGCAAGUCGAGCGAACAGAUGAGGAGCUUGCUCCUCUGACGUUAGCGGCGGACGGGUGAGUAACACGUGGAUAACCUACCUAUAAGACUGGGAUAACUUCGGGAAACCGGAGCUAAUACCGGAUAAUAUAUUGAACCGCAUGGUUCAAUAGUGAAAGACGGUUUUGCUGUCACUUGUAGAUGGAUCCGCGCCGCAUUAGCUAGUUGGUAAGGUAACGGCUUACCAAGGCAACGAUGCGUAGCCGACCUGAGAGGGUGAUCGGCCACACUGGAACUGAGACACGGUCCAGACUCCUACGGGAGGCAGCAGUAGGGAAUCUUCCGCAAUGGGCGAAAGCUUGACGGAGCAACGCCGCGUGAGUGAUGAAGGUCUUCGGAUCGUAAAACUCUGUUAUUAGGGAAGAACAAAUGUGUAAGUAACUAUGCACGUCUUGACGGUACCUAAUCAGAAAGCCACGGCUAACUACGUG